rnacentral:misc_RNA from 1 species
GAUCAUCACUAUCGUGGAUCUUGUUGUUUCAUUGCUAAAUUGGUUUUCUCAAUCAGAAACAUCAAAUUCCGCCAUAAACUUGUCGUUGAAAUCCAAGCCAUCAAAUCAAGAGUUGACAAUAUUGCAAUGGGCCAUCAGAGGUAUCGUUACAAACUUUAUGUCCCGGAGCAAGGUUCAAAUUCUAACCAUGCCUACGAUGCUGCAAAUGAUCGCAGAGGUGAUGCAUUAUUGUUAGAAGAAGCUGAGCUUGUGGGCAUUGAAAAUCCCACACAGCAGCUAAUCGGUUGGCUCGUGGAGGAUGAUCCUAGACUUAAGGUGGUUUCGGUGGUGGGAAUGGG